CAACCCUUCGCUGUCGAGCCAUGGCGUCGUCCUCGCACCGGAGCCGUCCGCCGCGACGCCGACACCGAGCUUCUACCGCGACCUCGCCUAGGAGCCCGACGUCGAGCUCCUCUCCGUGCUCGACGCGCCCCUGCUCCAGGCCGGGAGCAGCGCCACCAUCGGCGACCGAGGCCCCGGCGUCCUCCGCGACCGCGACGUCGCGCGGACUCGUGACCGCGGACGGCCCCGCGGACGCCACCGCCGCACCAGAGCCACCCGCCGCGCCAAGUGCCUCGACCCCAACCUCUCCCGCACCUCAGCUCGCCCCCGGAGCCCCGUGAGCCGCCUCCGCGCCCUCGCCGCGCCGAGCCCCGACCCCGCGACGUCGUGCUGCCCGACGGCGACGCGGUUCUGCGCCACCCUGCGACAUCGCAAGCUGCAUCGAGCAGCACCUCGGCGAUGUCGUGCUCUACCUCGAAGCUCAAGGCUAUGGCCUUGCUGCGUCCUCACCGAUGUCGUGCUUCCUUUGGGGGCCGCGACGUCGUCACCCUGGCCGUGCGACGCUGGACGCGGUGACCACGGUCACCCUGCUACCUCGUCCUCACGCCGUUCAUCACCGACCCGACCCCGUCCUCGCCAGAGUCGUUCCCUCUGUCGCCGGGAGCAGUGGCUUUGCCGUACCAUUUUACUAGGCUGCGACGUCUCCUAGAUCAACUUCGGCCUCCAGCAGCAAACCACAGCGGUCCAGGACAUGUUGUAGCUAGCCAAGUUCACCCAGGCGUUCCGCGACAAGCCUCGCCUGCCCUGCCAUCACCAAGGUCGAACCCUAGUCGACGCCGACGAAAAACCCCUUUUGCUUUUGUACAUCUUUCUAUCAUCGUUUAUACUUGUCGAUACAUGAUUUAUCUAUACCCAUGCCUGUGCCGUGCCUUCGUGCCGGUCUAUUUAUCUA